UACGGAGGGGGCUAGCGUUGUUCGGAAUUACUGGGCGUAAAGCGCACGUAGGCGGCUUUGUAAGUUAGAGGUGAAAGCCUGGAGCUUAACUCCAGAACUGCCUUUAAGACUGCAUCGCUUGAACCCGGGAGAGGUGAGUGGAAUUCCGAGUGUAGAGGUGAAAUUCGUAGAUAUUCGGAAGAACACCAGUGGCGAAGGCGGCUCACUGGACCGGUAUUGACGCUGAGGUGCGAAAGCGUGGGGAGCAAACAGG
rnacentral:rRNA from 1 species